UACGUAGGGUCCGAGCGUUGUCCGGAAUUACUGGGCGUAAAGAGCUCGUAGGUGGUUUGUCGCGUUGUUCGUGAAAACUCACAGCUUAACUGUGGGCGUGCGGGCGAUACGGGCAGACUUGAGUACUGCAGGGGAGACUGGAAUUCCUGGUGUAGCGGUGGAAUGCGUAGAUAUCGGGAGGAACACCAGUGGCGAAGGCGGUUGCCUGGAGCUUUGCUGACGCUGAGGCGCGAAAGCGUGGGAGCGAUCCGG
rnacentral:rRNA from 1 species